rnacentral:rRNA from 1 species
UACGGGGGGGGCAAGCGUUGUCCGGAUUUACUGGGCGUAAAGGGCGUGCAGGCGGUCUGUUAAGUGCAGGGUGAAAGCUCCCGGCUCAACUGGGAGAGGUCCUUGCAUACUGGCGGACUUGAGGGGGGUAGAGGAAAGUGGAAUUCCCGGUGUAGUGGUGAUAUGCGUAGAUAUUGGGAAGAACACCGGUGGCGAAGGCGGCGACCUGGUCCGAUACUGACGCUGAGGCGCGAAAGCGUGGGGAGCAAACAGG